GAUGAACGCUGGCGGCGUGCCUAAUACAUGCAAGUCGAGCGGACAGGCGAGGAGCUUGCUCCUCUGACGAUUGCGGCGGACGGGUGAGAAACACGUGGAAAACCUCCCUAUAAGAGUGGGAAAACCUCGGGAAACCGGCGCAAAUACCGGAUAAGAUAUUGAACCGCAGGGUUCAAUAGUGAAAGACGGUUUUUGUGUAUCUUAUAGAUGGAUCCGCGCCGCAUUAGCUAGUUGGUAAGGUAACGGCUUACCAAGGCGACGAUGCGUAGCCGACCUGAGAGGGUGAUCGGCCACACUGGAGCUGAGACACGGUCCAGACUCCUACGGGAGGCAGCAGUAGGGAAUCUUCCGCAAUGGGCGAAAGCCUGACGGAGCAACGCCGCGUGAGUGAUGAAGGUCUUCGGAUCGUAAAACUCUGUUAUUAGGGAAGAACAAAUGUGUAAGUAACUAUGCACGUCUUGACGGUACCUAAUCAGAAAGCCACGGCUAACUACGUG
rnacentral:rRNA from 1 species